GUAGGCAUAGUUUAAGCAAGACAUUAGAUUGUGAUUCUAAAAACAGAGGUUAAAAUCCCCUUGCCCACC
rnacentral:tRNA from 1 species